AUUGAACGCUGGCGGCAGGCCUAACACAUGCAAGUCGAACGAGUGGCGGACGGGUGAGUAAUGUAUGGGAAACUGCCUGAUGGAGGGGGAUAACUACUGGACACGGUAGCUAAUACCGCAUACUAUCGGAUGGUCCCAGUUGGGAUUAGCUUGUUGGUGGGGUAACGGCUCACCAAGGCGACGCUCCCUAGCUGGGCUGAGAGGAUGACCAGCCACACGGGAACUGAGACACGGUCCAGACUCCUACGGGAGGCAGCAGUGGGGAAUAUUGCACAAGGGGCGAAAGCCUGAUGCAGCCAUGCCGCGUGUAUGAAGAAGGUCUUCGGGUUGUAAAGUACUUUCAGCUGGGAGGCGUUACCCGCAGAAGAAGCACCGGCUAACUCCGUGCCAGCAGCCGCGGUAAUAC
rnacentral:rRNA from 1 species